rnacentral:tRNA from 1 species
ACAUUGGUCGUUCUGUGGUAGGAUUCUUGCCUUCCAUGCAGGGGACCUGGGUUCAAUUCUCAGCCGAUGCA